ensembl:lncRNA
UAUAUAUGUGUAUAUAUAUAUAUAUAUAUAUGUAUAUAUAUACAUAUAUAUAUAUAUAUAUAUAUAUAUAUGAGUAUAUCAGAAAUUGUUUCAUUGAAUAACUAGGCUGAAAAAUGCAAUGUAAAUAGAAUAGCUAAGUAUCUGGUGAUACAACCAUAGACGUGAUUCCCACUGGGGACAUUCCUUUGGUUAAUUCUCACACUAGAGAGAGAGAGAGAGGGAGAGUUAACAUGUUCUCUAUGUGCUGUGCUUCGGUGUAGGGAUACUAAAAGCACUCAUAGCAAAUAUCAACACUUGAACGCAAAACCUUUCAUGGGUUAUUGACACUAUUUUCACUCAACAACAUGAUCUGGAUAUAUUAUUCGUCUUGAACAUGCAUAAGUAAAUCAUCAGCGUUAAGACUGGUAAUAAGCUAUCGUGGCACAGAUCCUACAUCAAUAUUGCAUGUUUCCUUCUAUGCUAUGGUCUCAGGUGGAAGAUUAGGUAAUAAAGGGGAUGAUUAGGGUGUAAUUUCACUAUUCAGAACAUAAAUGCUCCAUAACUGCCUCAUUAUGUUCUUCAAGCCAAACGGUUUGUUGUUUUUGUGGCCCUACUAUAUCCCUUCUCUGUUCUGAUACAUGUACAGUAUAUAGAACAUUACACACUCAUAACUUGUCCACAAUGAACAGUGAUUUAAUCACAGCUAAAUGCAGUAAAGAUGCAGUAUAUUGUUUAUUAGAAACUGAGUGUUUCGAGCCCUGAAUGCUGAUUGGCUGAUAUUUCAGACCAUAUACCACGGGUGUGAUGACAAAACAUGUAUUUUUACUGCCCUAAUUACAUUGGUAACCAGUUUAUAAUAGCAAUAAGGCACCUCUGGGGUUUGUGGUAUAUGGCCAAUAUACCACAGCUAAGGGCUGUAUCCAGGCACUCCGUGUUGCACAUAAGAACAUCCCUUAGCCGUGGUAUAUUGACCAUAUACCACACCCCCUCUGGCCUUAUUGCUUAAUUAACAUGCUUCCGCUGUAUCAAGCGUUUUAUUGGCUCCCCUCCUCACUCGCUGCUGUGUUCUAACUUACUUAAUUAUAAUCAUGCCAUAUGUUAGAUGACUGAAUUUCAAGCUGCCUGUAAUGGCAGUUCUACAAUAUCUAUUGCUCUGAUUGUCAGACCUCUGCGAAAUGCAACGCUGCUUUAAUCCACUAGAUUCUAGAAUCACAAGGUGAACAGAACACAUUAGGGAUUAAAUUCAACCCGUGCCUUAACCUAUGACAUACAACACUAGACACAAUGGAGUAAAGUAAAGCUGCACACAGUUCUGUACAGUUCUGUGUCCUCCUGCCAGAAGCUGCUGGUAUGGAUAUGAUACUACACAGUACAGAGAUACACAAAGAGAGGAUAUGGCGUCAUGACAGAAUUAAGGAAGGUUUCAAAAUUGUGAUAGGCAGACAGACCAUUGUUGAAUCUGUGGAACAUAACGACUGUUUGGAAUUACAUUCCUCCACAUUAGAGAGGUUGCUCUCUUGCAAUAGUGUAAAUACAAACAAGAUUAUAUAAUGGUUCAAACACUAGAGGAAAAACCCAGAGGAGAAGUUAUGUGAUUGGUAAAUUGAAGAUGUCUGCUACCCUUAAGGAUCUAUAUUGUUUUGUGUUGAAUUGACAAGGGACUUUUGACAAGUAUCAGGGAAAAUAUUGUGUCCCUUAGUUUAUACUAGCUCAGGACAUAGCGAGGUACUGUUCUUCUUUUAUUUUUCAAGUGAGUUUAUAGUGCCCUGCCAUACAGCACACAUAUAAUAAUAAUAAUAAUAAUAAUAAUAACAAUAAAUACAACUCUGCAGAGAUGAUGAGUGCAGAAGAUAUAGGAAAAGGUUUGUAUUUUGUAGUAAAGAGUUGAUGCAGUGUUUUUAUGGCUAGUGUCAUGCAAAGAGACUGGAGACGGUCUUUGGAUGCUUUGUUUAUGUAUACUGUGGCUUGGUAACAAUAAAGUACAUUUUUGAUGAAUGUUUAUCUAGUAAUUUAAACAACAAACAAGUUGACUUUGAAUAGAUUCACAAAUAAAAUGAUUUAAAAAUUCAAUGUUAUUGUCCAUCUAUUUCAAGUAAAUAAUAACAUCUGAUUGACUGUGAGAGCUGAAUAAAUGAAAGGUAUGGUAACUGACAAAAUAAAGGAAACAG